UUCUCAGUUCCCCACUUUCUCUUUUAUGUUUCCAUCUUCAACACCACGAACCGAAAUCCAGCAGAGAAGAUCGCUAAGUACCAAGAUUCAAAACGAUUGACUGGUGAUGGCGCUGUGAUACAAUAUUUCUUCUUUGUUAUUAUCGUUCUUUUUGCUCAAGUUAAAUAAAGAGCUUUUAGGGUUUGAGACGGGUAUUUUAGGCGAGGGUUUAACUCUUUUGUGGUCUAGAGAGGAAAGCCAACAAUGUAGACACUAUUUUUUUGGUUUUGGAUUGUUACAGAUGGAAAUAUCUUGAAUAAUCCCCUUGCUGGUCUGUGGUGCACAACUAUAAGUGCCAGUGAGGUAGUUGCAGCUGCAGUGGAGAAGAAAUUGAGCCUGAGAUGGAAUGAUGCAGGUGCAAGAGAGUGCUGUAAUGCUUAAUCUGAAAUUGCAGUUACAGGGAACGGACCAGUGAGGCAUAGUUUUCCCAUCUUUUGUCUGUUAUAUUUCUUGCUUUGUUUAUCUUGAAGCAUCCAAGUUUGGUCAGCGGUCAGCCAUUAUUAAUCAUAUACCACUUGCAUUUUUGUGUUUCUUUUCAGUUAUUAUAUACUAAUGGUGGCACAACUUACAGUUCCUACAGGUAUGUCAUCCAAGCCUUUUGUCCCACGUGACACAGGGGUGGUUAGAAAGUUGUCAAAAUCUGGAGCAUUGAUCAUGGGAAAGGCCAGCCUUAGCGAGUGGUGCAAUUCCUAUGGUACGGGUGUUCCCUUGGGAUGACGUGGAAAAGGUGGACAUGGCAGGGUAAGUUAAUUUGAAGUGCUUUCUCAUCUACUUUGAUUAAUUAUGAAUUUAUGGUUAUGUAAACUAAGUGUUCUUGGUAGAUCAUUUAGUACUAACACCUUUAUGCCGCAGUUCAUGAAGAUGGUUCAGUAAAGUAACAGUUCUCCGUGAAUCACUCUCUCAUUGACUGACUGUUGUAGAUUGUAGUCCAUAAGAGUUUGAUUGAAAGUCUGGGUUCUCCGGAAACAUGUAUAACUUUUUUAGUAUUUUGCAUUUCAAACAAGUCCAUCUACUCAUAAACCUACAGUUUUCGGAAUUUUUAACUUCCCAAAGUGAAUAGUGAAUAGUUUUGGAACAACACUAUUAUUAGUGUUCCAAAUUCGAAACCGAAGUUGGAGGUCGCACCCAGGUAAUGAAGUUGUAACUUUAAGUACCUUCCAUAUUCUAUCUACAUAUUUAUCUCCAUACACAGAAGGAAUUUUUGUGUACGGAUAUGGUACCUGUUGGCUUUGAAUUUCAAGAUCAAACAGUAUCCAAUCUGUAUGAUGAAGAGGUAAAAGAUGUUGACACGCAUCUUUGGUAUAUCUGUUUAUUAUGCUUCUUGAACUUAUUAUGAAGCUCAGCUUGAUACAUGAACAACU